UGGGGAAUCUUGCACAAUGGGGGCAACCCUGAUGCAGCGACGCCGCGUGAGCGAUGAAGCCCUUCGGGGCGUAAAGCUCUUUCGACCGGAACGAUAAUGACGGUACCGGGAGAAGAAGCUGCGGCUAACUACGUGCCAGCAGCCGCGGUAAUACGUAGGCAGCAAGCGUUGUUCGGAGUUACUGGGCGUAAAGAGUGCGUAGGCGGUUUUCUAAGUUCGGUGUGAAAUCUCCCGGCUUAACUGGGAGGGUGCGCCGAAGACUGGGAAGCUGGAGUGUGGGAAAGGCAGGCGGAAUUCCUGGUGUAGCGGUGAAACGCGUAGAUAUCAGGAGGAACACCGGCGGUGUAGACGGCUUGCUAGACCAUAACUGACGCUGAGGCACGAAAGCGUGGGUAGCAAACA
rnacentral:rRNA from 1 species